CCAGGGACGGGCGUCCCCAUUUAAAGGACUCCCGUCCAUAAAGAAAAUACAAUAAAAAAUUUUCUAAACAUUAGGGAUGGUCGUUCAUGACGGGCACCCGCAAAUAAGAGACGCCCGUCCUUAACCAAAAUAUGAAAAUAAAAAAAAUAAAAACUUUUGGGACGGUCGUCCAUAAAUUUUGGACGGUCGUCCCUCACGUUUGGACGGGCGUCCAUUAUGAAUGGACUCCGGUCCCUUACGAUUGGACGCCCAUCCACACUUUAAAAAAAAAAAAAAAUUCUUGUAAAGUAUGUCCACGUUUCGACUCCUCUUCUUCAACAACUCUUCUUCUUCUCCCUCAUCGUCUCGAAAACGUCCUCGUUUCGACUCCUCCGUCUGUCCCAAUCAUGUACUAUCGCCUCCUGUUCAACCGCAACGUGAGUUGGCUCGUUAGUGUCGACAAAACAACAGCAACAAGGUUCGGUGCUUGCAAAAGCUGAUGCCAUGUGAGAAGAAAAUGGAUACUGCUACGGUGCUACCACGCUUGAAGAGGCCUAUAAGUAUGUUAGAUUCUUGCAAAGUCAAGUUAACACUCUCCAAUCAAUGCCUCUUGAGUCUAGCUUUGCUCUUCAAAACGAGUUCUUCAGCUUUUCUGCAGUGUUAAGAAGAUACCAUUGUUGAACAAGGGCACAAGUUCAGAUGUUAGCUCAGUCUCUGGAUUGAAAGACGGAGAGAAAGUGCCAUCCUCUGGUACUGGAAUAAUGCAGGGAACAGGAUCAACAACUGCAAAUGCUUUAUCAUCUGGUGCAAUGCCUAGUUCAUCAAACUUACAAGCUGCCGCAGCAGCUUCUGUGAAGCCACCUGCAAGUGAUAGAUAAUAUUGAACUUUGGAGCAAAGUAUCAUGAAUCGAGAUCCGGAACUGGAAGCCAGUUUCUCUUUUGGCGGUCAGGAUUUUAGCCCCGCGCUCGCUGCCUUCUCUGACGAGGAGGAUGGUAACGAUGACCAGUACAUCGAGAUAGCUCUUGAGCGACCCAUGAAUGGAGAUCAUCCUGAUGAUGGGUCUAAUCAGUUGGAAUUUUGUAUAUCGUUUUCAUCUUCGGUUCCAUUUCUGCAACUCCCUAACUGCGGUUUGGCUCGUGCCAAUACCGUGGACAGUAUUGGGAGUGUGGACAGUUCAGUUCCUUUUCUACCCAUCUAAGGUUUGGCUUGUGCUGAUACUGUGGACAAUAUCGCGACUGUUGACAGUAUUGGAACUGAGUUCUCCGACGCUGUUACAACUCCUUUAUCGACGUCGUCCUCAUCAACCUCUGCCUCCACUUUGGGCUUUUCUUCUGCGGACACACGACGCAGGAGUCGAAACGAGGACGUUUUCGAGACGAUGAGGGAGAAGAAGAAGAGUUGUUGAAGGGUGGACGAUGAGGGAGAAGAAGAAGAGUUGUUGAAGAAGAGGAGUCGACACGUGGACAUACUUUGCAAGAAUUUUUUUUUUUUUUUUUUUAAGUGUGGACCAGUCCAAACGUGAGGGAAACGUAAGGGGCGUCCGUCCAAACGUAAGGAAACGUAAGGGACGGACGUCCAAAAUGCCGUCCAAAAUUUAUGGACGAUCAUCUCCAAAGUUUUUUUUUUUUUUUUUUUAUUUUCAUAUUUUGGUUAAGGACGUGCGUCCCUUAUUUGCGGGUACUCAUCCAAAAUGAAAGAACGGUCAUCUAUAACGGAUGAAUGACCGUCUCUAAUGUUUAGAAAAAAUUUUUAUUGUAUUUUCUUUAUGGACGCGCGUCCUUUAAAUGGGGACGCCUGUCCCUGGUAUAUAGACUCCCGUCCAUAUAAUAUGGACAGGUGUCCAUGUGAGUGAAAGAUGGACGGCUGUUCACUAGAAAAAAAUUAAUAGAAAAAUCAGGCGGCUGGUACACGUAAGCCGGUACAGAUUUUCGGUGUAAAUUUUUCAGUGUCCGUAGCAUUAUUGUAGGCGGUGUUUAUAGCUUCGUCUUCUUUGAGGGCUUUGUGUAUAGUGUAACGAAUCCCACGUCGAAAGUGUAUUAGAGAGGUCCUGGAUUUAUAAAUGAGGAGAGUCCUUCCAUGUAAUAUGUUAGUCUUUUGGGCUUGUAAUAAGUGGUACCAAAACAAACUCGGUCUAUCUUUUGAUGUCCUACCAAGCACUCAUGUAAGGGUGUCCACGUGUGAUUGUGAGUCCACACAAGAGUGAGGUGGACGGGUAGACAAGAGCCCCUACCUAUGAUGAGGGCAUCACAGGAUUGGGUGAGAGAGAAUGUAACAAGUCCCCAUCGGAAGCAUAUUAAAGAGGUCCUGGUUUAUAAAUGGGGGG